GGGAAGGUGGCUCAGUGGUAGAGCGCUUGCCUUGCAUGCAUAAGGCCCUGGGUUCGAUUCCUCACCACCACA
rfam:Dipodomys ordii contig_38769, whole genome shotgun sequence.